GGGCGAAUGGUUUAGUGGUAUAAUACUCCCUUAGCAUUACAAAGCCCAGAAUCUGCGUGAGCCGUACUGAAUGGGAGUGGUCCAGGGUUCGAUUCCCUGUUCGUCCA